rnacentral:lncRNA from 1 species
CAAAUAUUCAUGAAAUGACAAUGAUGCAUGAUUUGAAUGUGGGCCCAAGUGUGUUAGCUUCCCAAAUGUUUGACUUUGACUUUGAGUUGACUUUUCCUUGCUGCCUUGACUUUUUCUUUCAUGUUUGACCCUAGGCUAGUCCUAGUGGUCCUUUGGACUUAUGUUGAGUUCAUCUGUUUCAGGUUGAGCACAAUGCUUCAAAGAUCACUCAAACUUGUUUGAAUUUGAUUUGUUUAUCCCAUGCUAACCUUUGUUUUGCAGAUGG